rnacentral:rRNA from 1 species
AAUCAACGCUGGCGGCGUGCCUCAGACAUGCAAGUCGAACGAUUAAAGCUCUCUUCGGAGAGUGUAUAGAGUGGCGCACGGGUGAGUAACACGUAAGUAAUCUACCCUCGAGUGGGGAAUAACGUCCGGAACGGACGCUAAUACCGCAUAAUGCAGCGGCACCGCAAGGUGACAGUUGUUAAAGAUUUAUCGCUUGAGGAGGAGCUUGCGGCAGAUUAGCAGUUGGUAAGGUAAUGGCUUACCAAGGCUACGAUCUGUAACCGGUCUUAGAGGACGGUCGGUCACACUGACACUGAAUAACGGGUCAGACUCCUACGGGAGGCAGCA